UACAGAGGUCUCGAGCGUUAAUCGGAAUUACUGGGCUUAAAGGGUGCGUAGGCGGUCCCGUAAGUGCUUUGUGAAAUCCCAUGGCUCAACCAUGGAAUUGCUCGGCAGACUACGGGACUUGAGGUUGGUAGGGGUCGCUGGAACUCUAGGUGGAGCGGUGAAAUGCGUAGAUAUCUAGAGGAACGCCAAAGGUGAAGACAGGCGACUGGGCCAAUUCUGACGCUGAGGCACGAAAGCGUGGGUAGCGAACGGG
rnacentral:rRNA from 1 species